GAGAGUUCUCCUAAACCCCGGCCUUCGAAGUAUGGUUCUGAAGAAUCAGAGUCUCGACCUUCCAAACCGCGCCCCUCGAAGUACGAUGAAGAAGAGUAUGAACGCCCUCAAAAACCUCGACCUUCGAAAUAUGAAGAGGAAGAAGAAUAUGGACGGCCACAGAGGCCGCGACCCUCUAAGUACGAAGAAGAGGAGGAAUAUGGACGCCCUCAGAAGCCUCGACCCUCAAAGUACGAAGAAGAAGAGGAAUAUGGACGCCCUCAGAAACCUCGACCCUCAAAGUACGAAGAAGAGGAGGAAUAUGGACGCCCUCAGAAACCUCGACCCUCAAAGUACGAAGAAGAGGAGGAAUAUGGACGCCCUCAGAAACCUCGACCCUCAAAGUACGAAGAAGAGGAAGAAUAUGGGCGCCCUCAAAAACCUCGUCCCUCAAUGCACGAAGAAGAGGAAUAUGGACGCCCUCAGAAGCCUCGACCCUCGAAGUAUGAAGAAGAAGAGUAUGAACGGCCACAGAAGC
rnacentral:lncRNA from 1 species